rnacentral:rRNA from 1 species
UACGGAGGGGGUUAGCGUUGUUCGGAAUGACUGGGCGUAAAGCGCGCGUAGGCGGAUCAUCAAGUCGGGGGUGAAAUCCCGGGGCUCAACCCCGGAAUGGCCUUCGAGACUGGUGGUCUUGAGUUCGAGAGAGGUGAGUGGAAUUCCGAGUGUAGAGGUGAAAUUCGUAGAUAGUCGGAGGAACACCAGUGGCGAAGGCGGCUCACUGGCUCGACACUGACGCUGAGGUGCGAAAGCGUGGGGAGCAAACAGG